rnacentral:lncRNA from 1 species
AAACAAUAAUUUGAUAAAAGAAGAAUGUAAUGAUGUUUCACGUUACGAACAUAGCGGAUCGAUUGACAUUUCUAAGCAGAAAAGCGUGAUACACAGCUUAAGGACCAAAACAAGUUCAAAAAAUGUUAAAUAUCAAUAUCAUAGUGAUUCACACAGAAGCGACAACAUAACAUACUCUGAAGAUAAAAUAGAUACGAAAAAUAAUUUAAAAACUGAAAUACAUAGCUGUGAUGUGUCAAAAAUAUUUGGAAACUUCUGUAAUUAUUUUAACUGUACUCAAUUAAAUAAACGGGAAGAGAUAGGAUAUAUUAGUAGUAGUAGUAAUAAUAAUAAUAAUAAUAAGAAGAAGAAGAAGAAGAAGAAAAAGAAUAAAAUUUAUAGUCAUAAUAAUCAGGAUGGGAAUAAGUCAGAUAUCUUGGGUAGCUCGGAUAGGUCGGAUAUGUCAGGCGGGUCAGAUAGGUCGGAGCUGGUACAAACUCCAUAUAGCUUUCUUAAUUUUAAAAACUUUUGGUCUUUUCAUAACAACAAAACAAAAGAAAGUUCUACAAUUUGUAACAAACUUAUAAAAGAUAACACAAUGACAAAUUUAACCGAUGCAAGUGAAAAAUGUAUGAAUUUAUAUUUUUCAAAUGAACACAAAUUUAAUGAAAAAAAACUGAACAAUUCAAUGACUACUAAUAUAUUUAAUAAAAAAAAAACAAACAUUAGUAGCAACAAUAAUGAUGAUGCAUGGCAUAAUUUAAAAUAUAAUUACUAUAAAAAAUAUAAGACAAGUAUACGUAAUACUGUAACUACUCUUGGUAAAUAUAAAAAUCGAAAUUAUCAUUAUUCUGGAAAAGGAAAUGUAUACUACAGCAAUACGUUUCGUACUAGUAGGUAUCGCACUAACACAUACAGUAUGAAUAUGGGAUCGAGUAACAUAUGUAACACUAAAAUUCAUCAAUAUAGUGAAAGACUUAACAAUAAUUAUAAUAAUACUGACGAAUAUGAAAAAACAAAUGUAACUAGCAAAGAAAUAAUACAUAAUAAUACCAUACAAAACACAAACAAUAAAAAAAAUAAAAAUAAAAAAAAGGAGUAUGAAAAUAAAAGGUCUUAUAAUUCACUAUUUAGUGAAAUGGACACAUUUUUGUAUUCAAAGAAUAAAGAUGCAAUUAUAAGUAACAUAGUCCAUACCCAUAGUAUAGAUAAAAAAGUUGUACUACUAGAAAUAGAAAAGGGCUUUGAAAAAGUUGAUAAAUAUAUUUUUGAUGAACGAAUUUUCAAAGCACAAAAAUUAAUAAAAAGUAUGGAAAAAUGUAUAAAGUACUAUAUUAAUUAUUAUCAAAAUGUGAAUGACAAAAUAACAGUGGAUAAAUUAGUAAACUUUUAUGAAGAAAAAUAUAAUUAUAAAAAUAUAAAAUAUAAUAUUAAUAAUUUAAAAGUUAAUAUAAUUUUACAUAUUUUAACACAUUUUAAGCUCUUCGAAAUGGUUAACACAUUAAAUAAUUAUUAUUAUGUUUUACCAAUAGAUAAAUGUAAUAUCACAUUAAACUCUUCUGUCAAUUUCAAUGAAUGUAGCAACAUAUCAAAUAUCACGGAUGAUAUAAAUGCAAAUAUUCAUAAAAAGUCAUUAAGUUAUUCUUAUUUUAAUUCGGAAAAUGACGAAUGUUUUAAGUCUUCGUUUAAUGAUAAUAGCACUUGGAGUAAUAGAUUAGUAGUACACGCGACAAAUGAACAAAAGACACCUAUGUGUGGAGAAAUAGGAACAAACGUUACUAUAGAAAAAAAUGAUAACCAAACUGAUAACGACUCUAAACAAAAAUACCAUAACCAGAACAAUUUAACAAGUAUUAACAACAAUGGAGACAAUGGUAGUGAUAAUUUAAAUAAAAAGAAAACCAAAAAAAAAAACGACAACAACGGUAACACACAAAAUGAUGAACAAAUAAUACACACGACAAAUCAGAUCGAUGACACAAACUUAACAAAUAGUUGUACUGAGAAUGUACUACCAUCAAAUAAAAAAAAUAGAAACCUAAAAAAAUUUAUGAAGAAAAAAAAAUUUUUAAAAAAUAAUAAUAAUAAUAAUAAUAAUAAUAAAGUGGUUAAUAUUAUUCGAAGGCAUUCGAAAAAAAUGAAAGAAUUUAGAAAAACAAAAGUUAAUAAAGACGGAUGGAUAAAAGAAAAACAUGAUUUUUUAGAUUUAUGGUAUCAUGUAGAUGAUGAUAAUAAUAUUUCAAUACAUAUAAGAGCAGAUGUACCUUACGAAGUCAAAAUUAUUUUGUCCAUAUUACAUGAAGUAGAAUUAAGUGAUAACUGGGCUCCUUUUUUAAUAUCAGCAAAAACAAUUAAGCAAUUUUCAAAAUCGAGUGGGUUAUAUUAUCAGUUAUAUGAGUAUCCAGUAGUUGGCAAAAAGGAGUCAUUAUUGUAUUCUUUAGGAGCAAACGCUUUGGAAGAAUUUGGUUGCAUAAUACUUUGUUGCAAAGCCCCUCCAGAACUUAAAAAAGACAUUAUGUUUUAUCAAGACAUGUGUGAUAAAAUUAACAUAAACAAACAUAACGAAAUAUUAAAAGUCAAUGAAAAGACAGCUCGAUUUAGAAAAAAAAAAUUGGAAGUCACUUUUUUUAAUUGUGAAUUACCUGAACCAUCUCAUAAAAUAGAUAGACAAAGAGCAGGCAACUUAUGUUUUUUACUCUACCCUAUGGAUAAUGGAAACACAACAAAAAUUGAAUUGUUUUUAUAUUUAGAAAAUGAAUUUAAAUAUAUGCCAAUCAAAAUGGUUACAUAUUUUGCUAAAAAAGUUCUUAAAACUAUGUUCGAAAAUAUAGUUAAAGCUUGUAAAAAUUAUGACCUUUUAUAUUCAGAAGCUAUAACAAAAAACCAUGAGUUUUAUGAUUGGUUAGAUGAACAAAUUAAAAAACAUAUCGAAAAUAAACAACAAUCCAAGUUGUUUGAUUUUAUGAGUCUAGGAAAUUAUAUCGACACAGAUAAUAACGAGGUAUGUACUAAUGAGACAUAUACUAAUAAGACAGAUAUUAACGAGUCACAUACUAAUGAAGCAAGUUUAACAAACCAAUUAAAACAAACAAAAAAAAAAAAAAAUUAAAAAUAAACGUCAACGUGAUAUCGCGUUAGCA